rnacentral:tRNA from 1 species
AUUUAUAUAGUAUAUUUAGUACAAUUAACUUCCAAUUAAUUAGAUUAAUUUUUUUUUAAUAUAAAUA